AGCAGCCGCGGUAAUUCCAGCUCCAAUAGCGUAUAUUAAAGUUGUUGCAGUUAAAAAGCUCGUAGUUGAAUUUCGGGGUCAGUAGGUUGGUCAUGCCACUGGUAUGUACUGGUCUCACUGAUUCCUCCUUCCUGAUGAGCCGUAAUGCCAUUAAUUUGGUGUUGCGAGGAAUCUGGACUGUUACUUUGAAAAAUUGAGUGUUUAAAGCAGGCUAACGCUUGAAUACAUUAGCAUGGAAUAAUGAAAUAGGACGUUCGAUCUUAUUUUGUUGGUUUCUAAGAUUGACGUAAUGAUUAAUAGGGAUAGUUGGGGGCAUUAGUAUUCAAUUGUCAGAGGUGAAAUUCUUGGAUUUAUUGAAGACUAACUACUGCGAAAGCAUUUGCCAAGGAUGUUUUCAUUAAUCAAGAACGAAAGUUAGGGGAUCGAAGACGAUCAGAUACGUCGUAGUCUUAACCAUAAACUAUGCCGACUAGGGAUUCGGAUGAUGUUAAUUUUUAUGACUCAUUC
rnacentral:rRNA from 1 species